UACGUAGGGUGCAAGCGUUGUCCGGAAUUAUUGGGCGUAAAGAGCUCGUAGGCGGCUUGUCACGUCGGCUGUGAAAACCCGGGGCUCAACCUCGGGCUUGCAGUGGGUACGGGCAGACUAGAGUGCGGUAGGGGUGACUGGAAUUCCUGGUGUAGCGGUGGAAUGCGCAGAUAUCAGGAGGAACACCGAUGGCGAAGGCAGGUCACUGGGCCGCAACUGACGCUGAGGAGCGAAAGCGUGGGUAGCAAACAGG
rnacentral:rRNA from 1 species